UACGAGGGGGGCGAGCGUUGUUCGGAAUUAUUGGGCGUAAAGGGUGCGUAGGCGGUUCCGCAAGUCCUGUGUGAAAUCUUCGGGCUCAACUCGAAGUCUGCACGGGAAACUGCGGGGCUUGAGUGUGGGAGAGGUGAGUGGAAUUCCCGGUGUAGCGGUGAAAUGCGUAGAUAUCCGGAGGAAGACCGGUGGCGAAGGCGGCCUGCUGGGCAGUUACUGACACUGAGGCGCGACAGCGUGGGGAGCAAACAGG
rnacentral:rRNA from 1 species